rnacentral:rRNA from 1 species
GAUGAACGCUGACGGCGUGCCUAAUACAUGCAAGUCGAGCGAACGGACGAGAAGCUUGCUUCUCUGAUGUUAGCGGCGGACGGGUGAGUAACACGUGGAUAACCUACCUAUAAGACUGGGAUAACUUCGGGAAACCGUAGCUAAUACCGGAUAAUAUUUUGAACCGCAUGGUUCAAAAGUGAAAGACGGUCUUGCUGUCACUUAUAGAUGGAUCCGCGCUGCAUUAGCUAGUUGGUAAGGUAACGGCUUACCAAGGCAACGAUGCAUAGCCGACCUGAGGGGGUGAUCGGCCACACUGGAACUGAGACACGGUCCAGACUCCUACGGGAGGCAGCAGUAGGGAAUCUUCCGCAAUGGGCGAAAGCCUGACGGAGCAACGCCGCGUGAGUGAUGAAGGUCUUCGGAUCGUAAAACUCUGUUAUUAGGGAAGAACAUAUGUGUAAGUAACUGUGCACAUCUUGACGGUACCUAAUCAGAAAGCCACGGCUAACUACGUG